AUUAGAGUCAUCAUAUAACUUUAGAUUAUCAUUCACGGCUCUCGCCAAUCUCUGAAGGCAGAUUGUGGACGCAAUUCUUGGAGCAAUAUUUCAAGCGAAAGCAGAAAGCGAGGUGCGAAAGCAAGGAAGCGAUUAUGAUUCUGAGAGCAGAGCAAUAACACAAGUUGUGCCGCAUGCGUUGAAACCAAAAUACAUGUCUCGUCAUCGUCUAAGGUAUUUAGCGACGAAGAUGUAAUACCGCUGUUGAAGAGGCUCGCCGAUUUCUGGGCUGAUGGAAGAAACAACAAGUGGGCUGAAUUCCACAAAUUUGUCAAGAACAAUCUUUCAAAACCAAAUUUCACGCGCACUUGGAUAUUUUUGAGAGGGUAAUCUUUUUACGCUCUAAACAAUGCAGUUGUUCAUUGAGUUCCUUCCACUCGAACUUCAAGCUUCUCUGCAUUGUCUCUCCCAAUCAAUACACAUCUUUCCAUGGCAAUUUUGGGAAAUCCAAACAUGUUAAACCAGGCAUACAAUAUGAAGACUGAAAUUCAUCCAAUGCUGGAAUUAUCUCUUGUUUCCACUUAGAAUUCCAGCAUUUGAUGAAUUCGAGUCUGCAUAUCCAAACUUGUAUGUCUCGUUUAACAUGUUUGGGUGUUCCAAGAUUGCCAUGGAGAAAUGUGUUUUGAUUGGGAGAGACAAUGUAGAGAAACUUGAAUACGAGUGGAGGGAAUUCAAUGCACAGCUGCAUUGCUUAGAGCUUAAAAAUGUUGCCCUUUCAAAUAUAUGUAAGUGUGCGUGAAAUCUGGUUUUGAAAGUUUGUUCUUGACGAAUUGGUGGAAUUCUGCCCACUUAUUGUUUCUUCCACGAGCCCAGAAAUCGGCGAGCCUCUUUAGCAGCGUUAUUGCAUCUUCGUCGCUAAAUACCUUAGACGACGAGGACAUGUAUUUUGGUUUCAGCGCAAGCGGCGCAACUUGUGUUGCUGCUUUAAUCACAAGUGAUUAGAUUAUGUUUAUAUGGGAGACCGAGUCGUCUGUUUGAUCUGAUGGAUCUUUAACUUGAGCAAGUCAUAGAUUAGAAAACUGUAUUGGAGAAGCCUAUUUGUCGAGGACCUAUAGCUGAUAUGUUCAUAUUUCAUUAUUUGAUUUGUUAUCGAAUGUUAGUUUGUUUCGGGCUAAAGAUAAUGCAAUUUUCCUGCUUUGGAUGAUCUAUUAUUUUUCCCCUUUCUUUAUUUUUUUUCUUUUUGUUUAUGAGCAUAUUAUAGCCUUUUAUAAGUUAACCUACGCUUUAUGACUAAUAAAUAAAUAAAGAUUUACACACAUAUCUCAACUGUAAGAAUAAUGAAAAAUUGAGCACGAUUUGCCAAACUUACCAAAUUAACAGCAAUGGGAGUACACUUAUAGCAAUAAUAUGAAGCAUUUUUUUUUUUCUUUUGAUAAAUUACACGAAUAAAUAAAGGGCAUUAACCACCAACCGUUAGACCAACUACACAAAAAAUUUUAUGAACUUCAGUUUGAGCUUUUUUUUGUAACGUUUCUAUCUUCGUCUUCGCUACCUUUUUCUAAAUCUUUCAAAAUGUUGCUUCAAGUGCUGUUUUGAAGUCUUGGAUUAUCACAUCAAUUUGUCAUUUUUUGCAUAAGGUGUAAACAAAGGUGACAGUCUCAACCCAUGCCACAUCACCUAAAUCUCCAUAAUUCACAUUUGCUAAAGUGUUCCUAUUAGUCAAGAAUCUUGAUGACUUAAAUCAGCAAGAAUCAACAAGGAGAUAUAUAGCUCAAAUUUAUCAGCAACAUAAAAGAAGAAAUCUAUCUAUGAAGAUAGGGAAAACAGAGCUGCUAUAUCAUUCACAUCUUCAAAUGCUUCAAAAAGAUGUCAUCUACGCGUCGCCCUAUUAGUUGUAGAUAAAGUAUUGAGCAUCAUCGCCUCUUGCUGGUCUCAACUUGCAUGAUCUACGAGAAUCACAUAAUGUAAACUAACACAUCCAUUACACCUUCAAAUACCACAGCAAGAAUGCUAUCUAUCUCCUACACAUGUUACUGCAAACGACAAAACCUCAACUCUUGCAUUUCAACUGCAUACCCAAUAUUCAUGCAUUCGCAUUAAACUCAGGUAAUGUGACAGGAAAAUCAUAAACAAACAUAAAGGCAGCUCGAGUCCCAACUCGAUACACAGUUCAUAUAAAGUUGCAGACUGUGAUCAACAGUUUAUGCGUGCAUCUUGAUUUAGAUCAUGAAACAAAUGAACACAUUUGUUAGUGAAACUGGAUGCAAGGCACGACCAACGAAAUCAUAUGAUGUAAUCUAAAUAUCUAAUGCAAUCACCAAAAUCUUCAAAUGCCAUAUCAAGAGUGCUAUCCUCCUACACAUGUUACUCUAAACGACAGAAGCUCGUUCGCACACACUUAUCCGUACUCUACUUAUUCUAAGUUCCUGAUCAGUUGAACUCUACUUAUUCUAAGUUCCUGAUCAGUUGAAACGCUCGCGUAGAACAUCAUGCCCAACGCAAAGAAUAAGCUCCAAAUACCAAUGUAGCAAGCAACAAUAACACAGUUAUACAGUGAUCAACACAAUCCCAGCUUGCAAAAUCAUUCAAAUUUCAUCAAACAACAGGCGAUUCAGUCGCUCACAACAAAAUCAAACUAUUUUAGCCACAAAGGUUGAAUGAAUGCAACUUCCAUUAAUCAAAGGUCUGAUAAUCAGAACAGUGGCAACAGUAGUAAACACAGAAUUCAAUUGCAACACUGAACUACAAUUCACCUCUCAAACGCUGGCGUAUCCCCCUCUCGGACUAUCCACGACGUUGAGCAAGGAGCCGUACGGCGAGUCCUCCAGCGAAUCCUCCGGCGCCCUCAGAACGCCGUGCACGAGCACGACGGCGGCCCCAAUUACCAAGGAAACGAACAAUUUCAUCCAGACGUGCGCCCAGAAGAGCGCGCCCAAAGUGCUCACGGCGAGAAAUCCGACGACGAAUCUCUGAUCGAUGUCGUAAUCCAAGACGGAGAGAGGCUCGUCGCGGGCGAGGACCAGGUACACCCAGGCGGCGAAGAGGCAGAGGAAGAAGACUAAGGUGAGGGGGCGGGUGAUUAGGGUUAGGAGGAAGAUGAUCAGCGUCAGAACGACGUAGUUUGGGAGGAAAUAACGGAGGUUUUGGUUGACGCGGUAGGUGGAUUCGGAGAGGGAGAUGGGGAGGCUGAGGGCGGAGAAGUCGAGGAACUGCGGCCACGGUCGGAGCGCGGCGGAGCUGGUGGUGGUGACCGGUGGCGCCGCCGGUGAAGACAUUUCGUGGGUCGUUGAUUUUGUCAGAGCUGACUACGGAAUAAAAAAACAGCUCGAAAUAAGAUUUUCAAUAAAAGUUCGUU